rnacentral:lncRNA from 1 species
CAACAAGUGCCCCAACUUUCGAAAAAAAGUGAUUACAAACCAAGGAACUCGGACCAUAGACGGAAGCGAAGAAAAGUUGUCUUUCGCUAUAUAAAGGUAUGUGGUUUUUACCUUGGGGUUCAGAGGGCAGAGCACCUUGGCUAGGGAAUAUAUAGAUCGUAUUUUCUUUAAGCCACGGGGGUCCAGGGAAUAUAUACAUCGUAGUGUAUGUAAGCCACAGGGUUAAGGUUAGGUUGGUUUAUUGGUUAGGACGCAUUGUACGAUUACCACAGGGAAUUUGGAUAAUGUGAAAUCCCGUAGAUUUUUACUGAGCAUUGGGUUUGAUUCCCGUAGUUUUUCAAAAGUUGGCGCGUCAAGCCGUAGACGUUCAUAGAUAGCGGGGGCGUCCGUAGUUUCACUGGCCGAUUUCCUUCUUUUUUUGUGCUUUUCGGGACAGAAAUUUGGCACGGGUUUUCGGAAAAUCGACUUUUUAACGUUUCAUUAAUCACUUUCUUCGAUUUCUGCAGGUUCCUUUUGACAUCCAGUGCCAUCCAUUACCCCCCCCCCCCCCUUCAACCCCCGGUUCCCAACGCAUCCUACAAGAUCGUUGGGUAGAGGAAACAAACAAAAAAUCUGAUUUUGGAACUUAGUCUCUGAGAGGGAGCGUCGCUCUCGGUAACAAUUACCAAGGUUUCGAACGGAACUGCAUGAUAAAUAUUCUCAAGUGUCUGACUAUUUUCGCAUGGACCACAGGGCAUCCACGACGUCGGUAGAUUGGCGGAGUUUUGAGGGACGGAGUACUGGCUCGGGAAGCAAGAAGCCAUGGGCGGGCCAGGGGUGGAAGGCGAAAUAGACGAAACCCCAAUAAGUGAGGCGGAAAUGUCACAGGGGGAGGAUGGUUCGACAGGCAUGGGUCUUCGGCGGGAUAGAGCGGCAGUCGAACUUUUGUGAUCCACUGGUAGAUCCUGAGGAACAGGACAGAACCGCCGCCACAUUAAUACCACUCAUCCAGCGGUACAUCCGAGAAGGCGGUAUUACUUGUAGUGACGGUUGGAGCGCAUACAGCACGCUUCAGGAUCUUAGAUAUUCUCACUGUGAUAAACCACAGUGAGAAUUUGGUCUCACCCGCCAGGAUCCACACGCUGACCAUCGAGCGUUUGUUGGGAGGGAGUUACAGGCUUGGGUCAAGUGUCCUGAUAUGCGUCCACAGUACUUCCAUCAGUUCUUCGCAAGAUACCUGUUCCUGCGCCACCACACGAGAACCUGCUUCCCCGGCUUCAUUUUGGCUGGCCGGCUCUAUCCGCCGCAGUCGGAGAGUGGUCAGCACUACCGUACCCCAAUACCCAUCGAGGACGAUGAUUGGGGAGGACUCUGGCGACCCAGACGAACCCAACCUGCCCCCCCCCCCCCCACCUGGGACGCAGAGAGCCAAACAGGUCACCUUGUAGCUGAAGUAUCGCAACCUCGUCUUGGACAACCACCUUAGAGUUUGUAGUUGGAUGCCUUGGCCAAGCUACCUACAGUCUGUCUAUCUUCAUAACUUCUCGGCCAUUGACCAGGGGAAGUGUGUCGUGUUGCAACAUUGCAAGAUCACCAUCACAGAAGGAAUGCCCAUUUUCGUUUUUACAUGUGUACACUGAUAUCAAAUUAAAUGUAAUAGAGUAUUAAUAUUUGUCUUCUUGCCUAAUUACUUCACAAACACACAAACCUGAUACAUGUAUCUAUUGG